AACAAACGCUGGCGGCAGGCUUCAUACAUGCAAGUCGCGCGAUUAAAGCAGCAAUGCAUAUAGAGCGGCGAACGGGUGAGUAACAGGUGGACAACCUGCCCUCUGGGCGGGGGACAACAGUUGGAACGACUGCUAAUACCGCAUGUGAUUGCAUUUCCUGGGAAGUAGUAAAGAAAGGCGCGUUUGCGCCACCAGAGGAU
rnacentral:rRNA from 1 species